rnacentral:rRNA from 1 species
AUGUAUCAUGAGGAGAACCUUGGUAGAGUCCAAGACAAAGAAGCUCAUGAGAUAGAGGUUGAGAAACUGAAGAAGGAGCUGGAUUCUCUUGCCAAUCAGUACAGUCAGCUUGUGGAUGAUGUAUCCAAGCUGUUUGAUUACCAGGAUGGGCAGAAAUCCCAUGACAUGGAUUACACAAGCCAUGAACUUAAGGAGAAGAAGCAUCAGCUUGAGGAGCAGGCAAAGAUUGAGGUUCAAAUGGAGAAGCUUAAGCUGAAGAAAGAACAGAGGUGCAUCCUGCAGAGUCAAGCUGAUAUCAUUCAAAACACCAGGAAGGCCAUGAAGGAGAUACAAGUGGAGAGAGACCUCCUUAAAGAAGAGAAGAAGAAGCUGGAGCAUGUCAUUUCUGAGCUACUGAAGGUUGGUCAUGGGUCCAAGGAAAAGCUGGACAAGAUCAAACAAGUUGUCAUGGAGGAGUGA